AUCCCAUGAUGAGGGCAAUUCUUUAUCAUCAUCUUAAACCUCUCAAAUGCUUCGUGAAACAUUUCACCCAUUUGUUGUUGAAAACUUCUUAAACUUUUUCUAGCAU
rfam:Helianthus annuus linkage group 9, whole genome shotgun sequence.